ensembl:antisense Gm43403 predicted gene 43403
ACGGCGGGACGGGACCGGGAGAAGAAGGGGCGCCGCGGCGGGAGGGCGGCAAGAGAGCGCUGCGCCGCCGAGGGAGUGGACGGUGGUGUCACGUGCCUGGAGGGAGGAGCUGGAAGGCUGGGGAGGAGCGCGCGCUGGCGUCCUCCCCGCUGCAGCCUCCCCCCCACUCCACUCCCCCGCGGUGCUCCGGAGACCACGUGAGCUUCCCUCCCGGUCUAGCCUGGCCCCUCGCUGACGACCGGGGCCUCUCGGUUUCCCUCCGGCCUGGCCUUUCGCGUCCGCAGAUCUCGGUUUCCUCCAGAGUCCUGCCUUCUGACAAGGUGGCUCGAAGGCGCCCGGCGAGAAGAGCUCAGCUCGGCCUCUACUUGGUGAACCACUUCCCUGAUAAAAGUGUCACCUACCCCACCCCCGGUUGUUUUUUCAUCUCCCUCCACUUCUGUCCUCACCUCUUGUGACCCCCUCACCCCCUCAUCCUGUCUCAUAACAACAGUGGAGCCAAGUGGGGAAUAACAAGUAAUUUUGUCUACACACAGGAAGCUUGGGAUGAAGCGGUUUUUUUUUUAUAAUGAAGUCACCGGCCAUAUUUUUGCGGCAACUCCGCAUCAAUGGGAUGCACCUAUAGCCUAGUGUCUAAAGUUGAUUUAUUGAAACAUUAAAGCUAUUAUGUGUCAGCUUUCCUACACUAAAACAUUUUGCCACAUGACAAGUGUUGGUAAAUGUCAGUGGGGUAACUGUAACAUGAUUCACAAGCAGUUACAGAUGGUUCGUGUAAUCAGUUACAAAUGCUGGGCUUAAAAAAAAUAGACUUUGUACACACGGUACUGUCCUGAUGCCAGCCACUUAGACGUGCAGUUAGUAGGUCUACAACACCUGUAUAUAUCACUCGCUGCUUGGAGACCAUAAUUAUCUGAGUCUUGGGGAUUUCAUAUUUAUAUUACUUAAUAUAUAGCACUUUUCAAUUAAACAUGAUUGUGUGGCCAUGUGGGUGGGCACAGGUGCUCCCCUCAUUACUGUAGUUGUGGAAAUCGGACUUGACUGAGUGCUCUCUUUCCAAGGCUCCAGGGAUGAACUCAGGUAAUCAACGCUCACACAGCUAGCACCCGUCCAGUUAUAUCACCGAGUAAUACUUUUUACAUAAAUGAAUAGUAAUAUGAAGAGAAUCUUGAACCGUAAACUCCACAUUAUUCGUACUUAAGUUUGGGAGAUUUUAUGAAAUUAGGGGACCUCUCUGAUAGCAGGACAUAAAUGCUAGAGGAGAGAGACUCCCAACAAUAUUGAUUCGGAGGCUUAUUGGAUUAUAAUGAGGCUCCUGCCAUCGCAGCACCUAGAAGGCUGCAUCAGAAGAGUCACAAGCAGAAUGCUAGUCAACCAUACACCGAUUAUAUUUUCAGAAACCUAAGGACUGGCCUGCUGUGAUGGUGGCAGCCCACAUCCUUAAUUCCAGCCCUCGAGAGGCAGAGGCAGGCAGAUCUUUGUGAAUUCCAGGCCCACACAGUCUACACAGUGAGUUCCAAGCUAUCUACAGCUACAGACUGAGGCCCUAUCUUUAAAAACAGAAAGCAUAGAGUCAAGCCCGGUAGGCUGUCCCUGGCCUCUGAUGAGAUUUCUUGAUGUUUCCCUCACAGCAUCAGUCCGUUCUCUAGAGAAUUUUUCCUAUGAAAUCCAACUAAAGAGUUGACUUUACUGAAGAGUGGUAACAAGAAUAAACUGGCAAGUGCAUGU